rnacentral:rRNA from 1 species
UGCAAGUCGAGCGCCCCGCAAGGGGAGCGGCAGACGGGUGAGUAACGCGUGGGAAUCUACCCUUUUCUACGGAAUAACGCAGGGAAACUUGUGCUAAUACCGUAUGAGCCCUUCGGGGGAAAGAUUUAUCGGGAAAGGAUGAGCCCGCGUUGGAUUAGCUAGUUGGUGGGGUAAAGGCCUACCAAGGCGACGAUCCAUAGCUGGUCUGAGAGGAUGAUCAGCCACAUUGGGACUGAGACACGGCCCAAACUCCUACGGGAGGCAGCAGUGGGGAAUAUUGGACAAUGGGCGCAAGCCUGAUCCAGCCAUGCCGCGUGAGUGAUGAAGGCCCUAGGGUUGUAAAGCUCUUUCACCGGUGAAGAUAAUGACGGUAACCGGAGAAGAAGCCCCGGCUAACUUCGUGCCAGCAGCCGCGGUAAUACGAAGGGGGCUAGCGUUGUUCGGAAUUACUGGGCGUAAAGCGCACGUAGGCGGAUUGUUAAGUGAGGGGUGAAAUCCCAGGGCUCAACCCUGGAACUGCCUUUCAUACUGGCAAUCUAGAGUCCAGAAGAGGUGAGUGGAAUUCCGAGUGUAGAGGUGAAAUUCGUAGAUAUUCGGAGGAACACCAGUGGCGAAGGCGGCUCACUGGUCUGGAACUGAC